GAUGAACGCUGGCGGCGUGCCUAAUACAUGCAAGUCGAGCGAACAGACGAGGAGCUUGCUCCUCUGACGUUAUCGGCGGACGGGUGAGUAACACGUGGAUAACCUACCUAUAAGACUGGGAUAACUUCGGGAAACCGGAGCUAAUACCGGAUAAUAUAUUGAACCGCAUGGUUCAAUAGUGAAAGACGGUUUUGCUGUCACUUAUAGGUGGAUCCGCGCCGCAUUAGCUAGUUGGUAAGGUAACGGCUUACCAAGGCAACGAUGCGUAGCCGACCUGAGAGGGUGAUGGGCCACACUGGAACUGAGACACGGUCCAGACUCCUACGGGAGGCAGCAGUAGGGAAUCUUCCGCAAUGGGCGAAAGCCUGACGGAGCAACGCCGCGUGAGUGAUGAAGGUCUUCGGAUCGUAAAACUCUGUUAUUAGGGAAGAACAAAUGUGUAAGUAACUAUGCACGUCUUGACGGUACCUAAUCAGAAAGCCACGGCUAACUACGUG
rnacentral:rRNA from 1 species